ensembl:lncRNA
GUCAUCUUGGAAGCCAACUGAAAAAGGAUGUUUCAAAGAAGACACUUGUUCCCUGAGCCAAAUGCUACUAUGCUCAAUCAUCUCCAACUUUUUGUUACCGUAUUGACCAUAGCUCGCCACACCCCUCAGUGCAUGGGAUUUCCCAGGCAAGAAGACUGGAGCGGGUUGCCAUUUUCACCUCCAGGGGAUCUUCCCAAUCCAGGGAUUGAAGCUGUACCUCUUGCAUCUCCUGCAUUGGCAGGAGAGUUCUUUAUCUCUGCACUACCUAGAAAGCCCUGAUAAUAUGUUAUGUAAUAAUGUUACGCUAUCUUGUUCCCCAACAACCUUUGUCCUUUCACUCAAUAGUUGUGAUGAACAUUCUUGUACAUAUAUCUAAUUGCUUUUGUGUCCUCAUGUCCUGGAUAUAUAUCUAGGGGUGAAGUGCUGAGUUACAAGGUUGGUCAUAACUUUCCUUCCAAGGAGUAGCGUCUUUUAAUUUCAUGGCUUCACAGGCUAGUCCCAAACCAUGAAUAAUGUGGAACUGAGAAUCACUCAAUCCGUAAGUGACACAAUACCUAAAAUAAUGACUUUGUGCCAGGGAAAUAUUGACUUAGAUUUGGAUUUAGAAGCAAUAAGGCAGCCCGUCAGUCUUUUAUGUGCUGUGUUUAGAUUAGGCAUUGUAGGUUAUUGAGCAGCAGUGUGAUAUGAUGGGAACAGUUCUAUCACAUAUGGACCAUUCUUAGAUACCUAUAUCAUUGUACAGAAAAGUGCUUCCUCUCUCGUAAUUAAAGCAAUUGCAUUUAAAAUUACUUCACUGUACCAUUUUACGCCACUUUAUUUGGCAAAACAAAUGAGAUAAUGAAGCCUGAUACUCGUCAGGUAUUGAAUGCGGAUAUACGCAAACAUUGUUAGCAUCUUCAGUUUAUUGCAAGAGUUAAGGAAAAGAAUUUUAAAGAAUUUAAAAAUAAUCACAUUCCUUUAUUCAGUAAUUAAUACCUCUGAGUAUAUUCUUACAGAAAUGAUUCAAAAUAAAGAUUUAUCUGUUU